AUUGAACGCUGGCGGCAGGCCUAACACAUGCAAGUCGAACGGUAACAGGAAACAGCUUGCUGUUUCGCUGACGAGUGGCGGACGGGUGAGUCAUGUCUGGGAAACUGCCUGAUGGAGGGGGAUAACUACUGGAAACGGUAGCUAAUACCGCAUAACGUCGCAAGACCAAAGAGGGGGACACUCGGGCCUCUUGCCGUCGGAUGUGCCCAGAUGGGUUUCGCUUGUUGGUGGGGUAACGGCUCACCAAGCCGACGAUCCCUAGCUGGUCUGAGAGGAUGACCAGCCGCCCUGGAACUGGGACACGGUCCAGACUCCUACGGGAGGCAGCAGUGGGGAAUAUUGCACAAUGGGCGCAAGCCUGAUGCAGCCAUGCCGCGUGUAUGAAGAAGGCCUUCGGGUUGUAAAGUACUUUCAGCGGGGAGGAAGGGAGUAAAGUUAAUACCUUUGCUCAUUGACGUUACCCGCAGAAGAAGCACCGGCUAACUCCGUG
rnacentral:rRNA from 1 species